CCCUUAGAUGUUCGGGGCCGCACGCGCGCUACACUGAAGGACUCAGCGUGUCUCUCCCCCUAUCCCGAAAGGGAUGGGCAACCCGUUGAACCUCCUUCGUGCUAGGGAUUGGGGUUUGCAAUUAUCCCCCAUGAACGAGGAAUUCCCAGUAAGCGCGAGUCAUCAGCUCGCGUUGAUUACGUCCCUGCCCUUUGUACACACCGCCCGUCGCUACUACCGAUCGGAUUGUCCUGUGAAUUUCUAGGAGAGUUGAGGUCCUGGCGCUUCGGUGUCGGCGACCUCAUGCUUGAAUUGAAUUGAACUGGACUCUCUAGAGGAAGUAAAAGUCGUAACA
rnacentral:rRNA from 1 species